GAUAGCGAACGUUUACCCUGAGAAGCCAUUUCAUUUUUCUCGUACAAGAAGAACAGAAUUAAACAAAAUUGAAUCAUUCUUCUCUUCCAUGCCUGAUGAUGAAGAUGUUGUUAGAACUGUUUAUCUGACAGGUCAACCUGGGUCUGGGAAAACAGAAUUAGCUCGACAAUAUGGUGGACAGUUUGAAAAUGCGUCAUCUGCCAGUGAUUCAUCCAAACCUUUGGUGACUACAUUAAACGCUAAGUCAGAAGACUCGCUUAUGAAGUCUGUUAAAGAAGCUACGCGAAAAUUACAAAUCCCAGUAUGUAUGGAGCAAACAAACAAAAAUCUUGAAGAACUGAUGAAAAACCUGAGAGAUUAUUUCCGUGAUUACAGUGGUGCUUGUCUUCUUAUCAUUGAUGAUAUGUUUCAAACGACUGGCUUCAAUAAGUUAUUUCCACGACCUGGUGCCGACGAAUGGGGUGGUGGUCAGGUCCUGGUCACAACACAAGAUAAUAAUCUCGUACCAGCUGGUCAUCUGUUUGCAAAGCCGAUGUCUUUGAACGAAGGUAUGACUAAAGAAGAUGCUCUUGCAUUGCUUAAAGAGAUCAGUGAUGUUGAAGUUGAUGAUUUUGCUGAAGAAAUCAUUAAAGAGUUGCAGUCUCUUCCUCUUGCUUUGGCGUGUUGUGCAACAUAUGUUGGAGAAACAAGACAAGAUCGUGCUUCAACACAGUUUGGAUGGAAAGAAUAUCUAGACCUGUAUCGUGAAAAUGCCAAACUUGAAUCCCGAACAUUUUCCAUUCACAAUGUUUAUCCUUUUUCCAUGACGGCUGCCACUGCGAUGGCUGUGGAACGAAUGGCAGAAACAAGUGAUGUUCUACGACUGACGUUUUCGUUUCUUUCGUAUUGUGAAUUGCUUCCAGUUCCUUUGAUUGUACUAGCCCACCACGUCAUGGAAAACCUACCAGUCCGGAUUGAUAAACGGCCAACAACAACAGAAGAAAUUAAGAACGAGAUUUCAAGAUGUACAUUACUCGUUCACGGACGGUUACAGAACGUCGAAACAAUACAAUGUCAUCAGGUCAUUCACAAUGCUUUUCAAAGUGCAGGAAACGAGAAACCUGAAUUUGUUAAAAUGAUGAAAUCUCUGAAUGAGACACUAGAUUACAUGGACAAUACGCAUAAAGAAGACGUACUUCUUAAAGUCCUUGUGAGGCCACACCUGAAGUCAUUUGUUGAUCAUGCCAAUGAUAUGUCCUGGAAUGAUACAGCUGAAUUUGUCCUGAUUUCCAUGAAAAAGGGUCAGUUUCUUUUCUCAACAUCGUACAUGCCUGAAGAAAGCGCUGUCAAGAGUCUAGAAUUGCUCUAUAAUACUUCUUUAGAACUUGACUUACCUGACGAGAGACUUUGUGAUAUAUUGGCCAACCUUGGCUUCUAUUAUCUAGAACUAGGCCGUGAUGAAGAUGCUUUGAAUUUUUUAUGUCAAGCUUAUUUCAUGACGGAAGGUAAAAGUGAGAAAGAAUGGUUGUUGUUAAAGUGUCGUGUCUCGUACAACUUGGCCCGGACGUAUUUCAGCAUGGACAGUUUGGAUCUUGCCGUAGAAAUGAUGGAGAGGUCGAUUGACGUGGCCAAAAAUGUCUAUAUCAAGGAAGAAGAUAAAGUUAUGAACAGAUUUUAUUGGCUUGCUUACUUUUACUUCUUUUCGAUGAAAUUUUGGAAACUAGGAGCAGUUGUCGAAAAAGCAGCAGAAUUUUUUUCAAGUUGCGCGCCAGAUAGUGAGAAUGUAAGCAGAGCACGUUGUUUAAAAUAUCUAUCGGGUGUAUACAUGUUUGGCAUUAUUGAAUCCACUUUUAAGCCUUGGAAAUACCGGAAGUGUAUGAAUUUGGCGGAAAAUAUUUUGAACAAAUCUGUGAACGUUUAUGAAGAAGUAUUAGAAGCAGACGUCUUUCCCUGCCCAGAAUACUGUAUAUUACUCGCCUAUUGUGCAAUACUUAAAUUAGAAGCCGAAAAACCAACUGAAGCAAGAACACAAUUUGACAAAGCUCUUGAAUAUUGCUUGCGAAAUGGUGACAGGUUAAGCUAUAGCUGCAUAGCUGCCUGUAAGAAACAUUUUUGUGGCAAUUCAAGUUGGUGGCAAUCAUUGUUUUAUCGGAUUCGGAACUUAACAAAGGGACGUGUGACAUUUGCUGAGCAUAUUAACAUAUGUGACGACAUCUUGGAAGAUUGUAAUACUGGAAGAAUAUCACCAUCUCGUCAAAUGAUAAACGGGAUCAAGAGAGGAAGAGAUUUUUUUAUUUGGUACAACUAUGCCAUUUUUCUUUUCAUCUUUCAUUUUUUAUGUUGUCUUCCUUAAUGUGUGUUUACUAGAAAGAUUCAGGCGAUUACAUAUCUAUAUCACAUCAAUAGCAAGGAACUCGCAACAACAUGACCAGUCACAAAUUGCCUGGGUAUUUGGAUUGCGUGCGAUCAUACUUGAACUUUAAUGAACUUUAUUACAGGAUUACACAAAUUACUGAUAAACCUGUAUUUUACAUUGUGGUCCAAAAAUAUAUAUAGUUUAAAUUACAAUAUCUACAUAUUUCAAUUAGAAUGUCUGUGUGACCAGAAAAUGAUCACAACUUUCAUUUACUAAAAGUGUUUUAUUAACUAAGUGUUUUUUAAAUUUACCUAACCCACUAAUAUUCAUACUUGCGUGCGUGGGACCAAGAAUUUUCUAGAUCGUUGUGCAAGUGCAACCAAGCUACUUGGUUUUGUUUAAGCUAAGUGGUGCAGAACUAACACACUAUUUUUCAGUUUUUGCCCUGUUCUUGGUUAUCCAAGUCAGUGACAGUGUAGUGAACUGUGAACACCGUCAUUCCAAGACUAUAUAAAUAGAGAUAUUCAGAACCAUGCCGUACGUAUAUAAUAUACAUAACGUCAUUAGGAGAUUGUGAGACACGCAGGCUGAAAGGAAUAAAUAUAUAAAAUAUAAAGCAGGAG
rnacentral:lncRNA from 1 species